CAGGAUGCGUCAGUCUGUUCAGUGGUC
rnacentral:piRNA from 1 species